UACUAGAGUAGCACUCGCAUAUCAAUAAGCGGAGGAAAAGAAACUAACAAGGAUUCCCCUAGUAACGGCGAGUGAAGCGGGAAGAGCUCAAAUUUGAAAUCUUAAAGGGUUUCCCUUUACGAAUUGUAGUUUAAAGAAGUGCUUUUCUGUUGAGGUUUUGGUAAAAGUUCUUUGGAAUAGGACAUCAUAGAGGGUGAGAAUCCCGUAUUUGACCUUUACUUUCAACUUUGUGAUACACUUUCAAAGAGUCGGAUUGUUUGGGAAUGCAGUCCAAAAUGGGUGGUAAAUUUCAUCUAAAGCUAAAUAUUGGCGAGAGACCGAUAGCGAACAAGUACCGUGAGGGAAAGAUGAAAAGAACUUUGAAAAGAGAGUUAAACAGUACGUGAAAUUGUCAAAAGGGAAGCGUUUGACACCAGUGUUGUUUUUCUGAAAAUCAAUUAAAGAACUGUUUAUGCUAAGUUGUUUAGACUUUAUCAGCUAACUGUUUAGUUUUGAGCUUUUCUUUAAUGCACUUUUCAGUCAACAAGUCAACAUCAAUUUCUUUUGCUGUAAAAAAGCUUGAGGAAGGUGGCUUGAGAUUCGUCUUAAGUGUUUAUAGCCUCUUGCCUAUGCAGUCGGAGAGAUUGAGGUCUGCAGCGUAGAUCCUUCGGGGCUAAAUGCAUUUGUGCUAAGUUAUAGCAUUUUAUAGACAACUUGUUGACUAUGAUUUGUCUUGUAGCUUACUCGCUUAUGUUAUUUUACCUACGCUUAGGAUGUUGAUCUCUCACAGUCGAGC
rnacentral:rRNA from 1 species